rnacentral:rRNA from 1 species
UACGGGGGGGGCAAGCGUUGUUCGGAAUUACUGGGCGUAAAGGGUUCGUAGGUGGCCAACUAAGUCAGACGUGAAAUCCCUCAGCUUAACUGGGGAACUGCGUCUGAUACUGGUUGGCUUGAGUGCAGGAGAGGAAUGCGGAAUUCCAGGUGUAGCGGUGAAAUGCGUAGAUAUCUGGAGGAACACCGGUGGCGAAGGCGGCAUUCUGGACUGCAACUGACGCUGAGGCGCGAAAGCUAGGGGAGCAAACGGG